AUUCCUACGGGAGGCAGCAGUGGGGAAUUUUGGACAAUGGGCGCAAGCCUGAUCCAGCCAUGCCGCGUGAGUGAAGAAGGCCUUCGGGUUGUAAAGCUCUUUCGGCGGGGAAGAAAUCGCAUUCUCUAAUACAGGAUGUGGAUGACGGUACCCGAAUAAGAAGCACCGGCUAACUACGUGCCAGCAGCCGCGGUAAUACGUAGGGUGCGAGCGUUAAUCGGAAUUACUGGGCGUAAAGCGUGCGCAGGCGGUUUUGUAAGUCAGAUGUGAAAUCCCCGGGCUCAACCUGGGAACUGCAUUUGAGACUGCAAGGCUAGAGUGUGGCAGAGGGGGGUGGAAUUCCACGUGUAGCAGUGAAAUGCGUAGAGAUGUGGAGGAACACCGAUGGCGAAGGCAGCCCCCUGGGCCAAUACUGACGCUCAUGCACGAAAGCGUGGGGAGCAAACAGGAUUAGAUACCCUGGUAGUCCACGCCCUAAACGAUGUCAACUAGGUGUUGGAAGGGUUAAACCUUUUAGUGCCGCAGCUAACGCGUGAAGUUGACCGCCUGGGGAGUACGGCCGCAAGGCUAAAACUCAAAGGAAUUGACGGGGACCCGCACAAGCGGUGGAUGAUGUGGAUUAAUUCGAUGCAACGCGAAAAACCUUACCUACCCUUGACAUGUCAGGAAUCCCGGAGAGAUUUGGGAGUGCUCGAAAGAGAGCCUGAACACAGGUGCUGCAUGGCUGUCGUCAGCUCGUGUCGUGAGAUGUUGGGUUAAGUCCCGCAACGAGCGCAACCCUCGUGUUCAGUUGCCAGCGGGUAAUGCCGGGGACUCUGAACAGACUGCCGCCGUAAGGUGUGAGGAAGGUGGGGACGACGUCAAGUCAUCAUGGCCUUUAUGUCCAGGGCUACACACGUGCUACAAUGGUAGGGACAGAGGGCAGCUACACCGCGAGGUGAUGCGAAUCUCUCAAACCCUAUCCCAGUUCGGAUUGGAGUCUGCAACCCGACUCCAUGAAGGUGGAAUCGCUAGUAAUCGCGCAUCAGCCAUGGCGCGGUGAAUACGUUCCCGGGCCUUGUACACACCGCC
rnacentral:rRNA from 1 species